UAGUCAAUUAGAUCCCUUACGGCAAUAACAUCAAUAUCAUGUAGACGAACAAUACCCUGAGUACGUUCUAGCAUGUCAUCUAAUGUUUAAAAAACAAUGUGACAAGAAAAAGGAAGUAAUAUUUUAAAAGCCUGUUUAGUUAAAGAUAAGGAAGAAACCCCUAACAAAUUGUUAAUGCAAAUAAUGAGACUUACCAUUGAACAUGGCAUAGAAAUAGGGUGAUACUGAAGCUAAAACUACCUUGUGGGCAUGUAGGGUUUCACCGCCUACCUCCAGAGUUACAUCACACAACUAACAUGGAAAUGGAAGAUAAGACAACAGACAUAAAAUUCAUGAGUAUGUAUGUACAUAUAUGGAGAGGUUACUCAUUACACUAUCAAUGUAAGGGAUGGGAUGAAAAAUUAAAUUUCAACACGACAAACAGGCAUCAACAUUAGUUUUUAGUAUUUACAAUCAAAUAAAGGAUAUUGACUCUUUGUUUUGACGGCCAUUGUAGAAACACUUUAAAUUAUUAGUAAUAAAAAUAAUUGUUUAUGUUUAAUCAGUAUUAAUAAAAGCAUUAGUAUGA